rnacentral:rRNA from 1 species
UUUGAUGGUAGUGUAUUGGACUACCAUGGCAGUCACGGGUAACGGAGAAUUAGGGUUCGGUUCCGGAGAGGGAGCCUGAGAAACGGCUACCACAUCUAAGGAUGGCAGCAGGCGCGUAAAUUACCCAAUCCUGAUUCAGGGAGGUAGUGACAAGAAAUAACAACCUGGGAGCCUUUGGCUCUACGGGAUUGCAAUGAGAACAAUUUAGAUCACUUAGCGAGGAACCAUUGGAGGGCAAGUCUGGUGCCAGCAGCCGCGGUAAUUCCAGCUCCAAUAGCGUAUAUUAAAGUUGUUGCAGUUAAAAAGCUCGUAGUUGAAUGUCUGGUUGUCGGGGGUUUCGGCUUCGGUCGUGCAACCGGCGGUCAUCCGCAUACGAAAUUAGUUCGGCCUUUACUGGUUCGGCUGAGGGAGUGUGCAUUUUACUUUGAAAAAAUUAGAGUGUUUCAGGCAGGCAAUUGUUUGAAUACAUUAGCAUGGAAUAAUGGAAUAUGACCAUGGUCAAUUUUGUUGGUUAUUUGACUUUGGUAAUGAUUAACAGGAACAGUUGGGGGCAUUAGUAUUUAAUUGUCAGAGGUGAAAUUCUUGGAUUUAUUAAAGACUAACCUAUGCGAAAGCAUUUGCCAAGGAUGUUUUCAUUAAUCAAGAACGAAAGUUAGGGGAUCAAAGACGAUCAGAUACCGU